CCCGCACAAGCGGUGGAGCAUGUGGUUUAAUUCGAUGCAACGCGAAGAACCUUACCUGGUCUUGACAUCCCGGAGACCCUUAGGAAACUAGGGGGUGCUUCCAUCUGGAAGAAUCUGGAGACAGGUGCUGCAUGGCUGUCGUCAGCUCGUGUCGUGAGAUGUUGGGUUAAGUCCCGCAACGAGCGCAACCCUUGCCUUUAGUUGCCAGCAGUUCGGCUGGGCACUCUAAAGGGACUGCCGGUGUUAAACCGGAGGAAGGUGGGGAUGACGUCAAGUCCUCAUGGCCUUUAUGACCAGGGCUACACACGUACUACAAUGGCCGAUACAAAGGGCAGCGACACUGCGAGGUGAAGCCAAUCCCGUAAAAUCGGUCUCAGUCCGGAUUGGAGUCUGCAACUCGACUCCAUGAAGUUGGAAUCGCUAGUAAUCGUGGAUCAGCAUGCCACGGUGAAUACGUUCCCGGGCCUU
rnacentral:rRNA from 1 species